rnacentral:rRNA from 1 species
GUCUACAGCCAUAUCACCCUGAAUGCAUUCGAUCUCAUGUGAUCUCCAAGGCUGAGCUGGGUUGGGCCUGGUUAGUACGUGGGUCAGAGGGGAGGGGACAGCCCAGGAAGGCCGGGGAGA